AUAAAUUUGAAUAGACAAAAAAUAAAUAAAAAGAAACCUAUCCCUAUCCGCAGUCACAUCUUAACAGCCUGGCCACCAUUUAAUUUUCUCCUCUUUUCACGCCAUCAGCCAUGCCUUUUCAGCAGAUUCAUCUUCCCAAAAAUCUUUUUACUUUACCUGCUAAUUUUGUCUUCUCACUUCUUCCUUCACCACCGGAUUCAAUCUGAAUUUCUUCUCCACCUUCCUUCCAGAGCGAACUCACUAUGGUUCAUCGUAUCCUCCUCCAGGUAUGUUUCCUUCCUUCUUUUUAGUGCUUCUAUUGCUAUUCUGUGAGCGUGAGCGUUCUCAGAUCUGUGAAUGAACUGAAAAGUAACCUCUGGGAGCUCUGAUCUUUUAUUCUGAAUAUCCUUGAUGAUUGCUCCGAGUACUGAUUUAUCCACUGUUGUCAAUUGACAUUUUUUUAUGACUGUUUUUGAAUCUCCCAUUAUUGUUGCUGAGUUUAGACCUAUUGAUAAUACUAACUUGAUGGCUUCUAAACUUGCCCGAGCUUCUGCUAUGAACGGGAAUGAGAUAUUACUAUGGAAAAUCAUUUUUGAGGCUUUAAACUCACCCAUCUAGUCUCGAACCACCAAACCGGAAGUCGAUCCAAAACAUUUGCUACAAAGGCAACAUCAAACUGUACCAUAGUACUCGUUAUCAUCCUUGGUGGUUGAUAAGUUUUCACUGUAGUAAAGCUGAUUUCUUGAGCCCCAAAUGAACCAUAAGGCGCAACAAAAGAAACCGCACUGUUCAUUAGUGCAUUUUCUGAAAGCCCAAGUCAGCCACUCUCAGAUGUUGUGGCUUGUAUACGAUGUAACCCAAGAGAGAUCUAACUCUUGCCAUAACUCAUUUGUUGUCGAACACUGUCUAAAAGCAUGGAAGCUAUCCUCUACUUCGGAGCUACAACGGGGACAUGUAUUAUUUGUAACCACACGCUUAUGUCUAAGAUUAACUAGUGUGGGGGUGUAAUUCCAAGAGAUCCUCCAAAUGGUCAAUGUAAUUUUUGAUGGUAAGUCUCAUAGCUUUUUGUAAAAUUCUUUAGUUUCGGCCUGUAAUAAAUAACUGGUAGGAUCCAAGCUAGCAUAUUGUAAUAGUUUAUAGGCACUUCGGACCGAAAAAUCUCCGGAAGGCUCUCAUUUUCACACUUGGAAAUCUUCGUAGUCUGCUUCUGUAAGAAGAAUCUGCAAUAUCUUUUGGGCAACUUUCGUUUGAAAGCAAUCAUUCUAUAUAGAAAUCUUAUUUCCUUUGCCAAUUCUCCAGCACAACCCAUUUCGGAAGAAACCUUUUGUUGCCCAGAUGCUCUUAUAGGUAAAAGAAGCUCAAGAGCAAAGGGGAACCAAAGCCGAUAAAGGGAAGGAAAAAGUGGUCGAAUAGCCAUCGGAAUCGUUAAACAACAUCCGAGGUCUCUUGGACUCGUCUCUUUUUGUGUGCUCGGAACCGUCAACGAAGUCAUCACACCGGCGAGCAAUCUUUGGUAUUGUCUUCUUAGUCGAUCUAGGAGAACAUUUGGCAUGUAUAAGCUCUUUGUUUUGUGAAAUUUUGGGUUGUAAACUUUAAGCCAUGCGAAUAUGGCCUAUGUGGUCGGUUGAGUGGGGUUUUAAAACUUAUAGUCGCGAGUACUAGAAAUCUUAAUUUUGAUAAGGUGGUCACAAUUUGUGUUAUGUAUGAUGGAUUAUUAGUAAGGCCAAGGAAAAAUUUAUGAAA